AUUGAACGCUGGCGGCAUGCCUUACACAUGCAAGUCGAACGGCAGCGGACCUUCGGGUGCCGGCGAGUGGCGAACGGGUGAGUAAUAUAUCGGAACGUACCUUUCAGUGGGGGAUAACGUAGCGAAAGUUACGCUAAUACCGCAUAUUCUGUGAGCAGGAAAGCAGGGGAUCGCAAGACCUUGCGCUGAUUGAGCGGCCGAUAUCAGAUUAGCUAGUUGGUGAGGUAAAGGCUCACCAAGGCGACGAUCUGUAGCGGGUCUGAGAGGAUGAUCCGCCACACUGGAACUGAGACACGGUCCAGACUCCUACGGGAGGCAGCAGUGGGGAAUAUUGGACAAUGGGGGGAACCCUGAUCCAGCCAUGCCGCGUGAGGGAAGAAGGUCCUCUGGAUUGUAAACCUCUUUUGGCAGGAAACAAACCUGCGCUAUACGCGCAGCUGAGGGUACCUGCAGAAUAAGCACCGGCUAACUCCGUG
rnacentral:rRNA from 1 species